UAAGUGAUGACAUUGAGAAUCCAAGAGGCACAGGGUUUCCAGGGGUUGCUUCCGUAAGAAUGUUCCUCCAAGGGAACAAGCCAAGUGGAAACGCAAGACAAUUGUUACACUUGCAUUGACUUUUCUUACAAGUUCACAAGCAAUACUUAUUGUCUGGUCGAAGAUAGCUGGGAAGUAUGAGUAUAAUGUUACCACAGCGGACUUUAUGGUGAGUAGAAUAGUCAUCUUGUGUUAUGACUUGACAUGGUGCCAAUGGGAUUGACCUUAUACUGUUAUUUCGGGAAACAGGUGGAGACUUUGAAAUGUGCCUUGUCACUUGCAGCGUUGGCAAGAAUAUGGAAAAGUGAAGGUGUUACAGAUGAUAACAGGUUGAGUACAACCCUCGAUG